rnacentral:rRNA from 1 species
AGAGUUUGAUUAGUGGCUCAAGGACGAACGCUGGCGGCAUGCCUAACACAUGCAAGUCGAACGGAAUAAGACUGGUUGUAGCGAUACUUUCGGUCUUAUUUAGUGGCGAACGGGUGAGUAACACGUGAGCAACCUGCCUUUUACACAGGGAUAACAGCCGGAAACGGCUGCUAAUACCGGAUAAGACCACACUGAGGCAUCUCAGAGGGGUCAAAGCGUUUAGCGGUAAAAGAUGGGCUCGCGUCCCAUUAGCUAGUUGGUGAGAUAACAGCCCACCAAGGCGACGAUGGGUAGCCGACUUGAGAGAGUGAUCGGCCACAUUGGAACUGAGACACGGUCCAGACUCCUUCGGGAGGCAGCAGUGGGGAAUAUUGGGCAAUGGAGGAAACUCUUACCCAGCAAAUGCCGCGUGAAUGAAGAAGGCCUUCGGGUUGUAAAGUUCUUUUAUUGAUGAUAAAGAAAGUGAUAUUAGUCAAUGAAUAAGCCCCGGCUAACUAUGUGCCAGCAGCCGC